rnacentral:rRNA from 1 species
UUAAGCGACUAAGCGUACACGGUGGAUGCCCUGGCAGUCAGAGGCGAUGAAGGACGUGCUAAUCUGCGAUAAGCGUCGGUAAGGUGAUAUGAACCGUUAUAACCGGCGAUUUCCGAAUGGGGAAACCCAGUGUGUUUCGACACACUAUCAUUAACUGAAUCCAUAGGUUAAUGAGGCGAACCGGGGGAACUGAAACAUCUAAGUACCCCGAGGAAAAGAAAUCAACCGAGAUUCCCCCAGUAGCGGCGAGCGAACGGGGAGCAGCCCAGAGCCUGAAUCAGUGUGUGUGUUAGUGGAAGCGUCUGGAAAGGCGCGCGAUACAGGGUGACAGCCCCGUACACAAAAAUGCACAUGCUGUGAGCUCGAUGAGUAGGGCGGGACACGUGGUAUCCUGUCUGAAUAUGGGGGGACCAUCCUCCAAGGCUAAAUACUCCUGACUGACCGAUAGUGAACCAGUACCGUGAGGGAAAGGCGAAAAGAACCCCGGCGAGGGGAGUGAAAAAGAACCUGAAACCGUGUACGUACAAGCAGUGGGAGCAUGCUUAAGCGUGUGACUGCGUACCUUUUGUAUAAUGGGUCAGCGACUUAUAUUCUGUAGCAAGGUUAACCGAAUAGGGGAGCCGAAGGGAAACCGAGUCUUAACUGGGCGUUAAGUUGCAGGGUAUAGACCCGAAACCCGGUGAUCUAGCCAUGGGCAGGUUGAAGGUUGGGUAACACUAACUGGAGGACCGAACCGACUAAUGUUGAAAAAUUAGCGGAUGACUUGUGGCUGGGGGUGAAAGGCCAAUCAAACCGGGAGAUAGCUGGUUCUCCCCGAAAGCUAUUUAGGUAGCGCCUCGUGAAUUCAUCUCCGGGGGUAGAGCACUGUUUCGGCAAGGGGGUCAUCCCGACUUACCAACCCGAUGCAAACUGCGAAUACCGGAGAAUGUUAUCACGGGAGACACACGGCGGGUGCUAACGUCCGUCGUGAAGAGGGAAACAACCCAGACCGCCAGCUAAGGUCCCAAAGUCAUGGUUAAGUGGGAAACGAUGUGGGAAGGCCCAGACAGCCAGGAUGUUGGCUUAGAAGCAGCCAUCAUUUAAAGAAAGCGUAAUAGCUCACUGGUCGAGUCGGCCUGCGCGGAAGAUGUAACGGGGCUAAACCAUGCACCGAAGCUGCGGCAGCGACGCUUAUGCGUUGUUGGGUAGGGGAGCGUUCUGUAAGCCUGUGAAGGUGUGCUGUGAGGCAUGCUGGAGGUAUCAGAAGUGCGAAUGCUGACAUAAGUAACGAUAAAGCGGGUGAAAAGCCCGCUCGCCGGAAGACCAAGGGUUCCUGUCCAACGUUAAUCGGGGCAGGGUGAGUCGACCCCUAAGGCGAGGCCGAAAGGCGUAGUCGAUGGGAAACAGGUUAAUAUUCCUGUACUUGGUGUUACUGCGAAGGGGGGACGGAGAAGGCUAUGUUGACCGGGCGACGGUUGUCCCGGUUUAAGCGUGUAGGCUGGUUUUCCAGGCAAAUCCGGAAAAUCAAGGCUGAGGCGUGAUGACGAGGCACUACGGUGCUGAAGCAACAAAUGCCCUGCUUCCAGGAAAAGCCUCUAAGCAUCAGGUAACAUCAAAUCGUACCCCAAACCGACACAGGUGGUCAGGUAGAGAAUACCAAGGCGCUUGAGAGAACUCGGGUGAAGGAACUAGGCAAAAUGGUGCCGUAACUUCGGGAGAAGGCACGCUGAUAUGUAGGUGAAGCGACUUGCUCGUGGAGCUGAAAUCAGUCGAAGAUACCAGCUGGCUGCAACUGUUUAUUAAAAACACAGCACUGUGCAAACACGAAAGUGGACGUAUACGGUGUGACGCCUGCCCGGUGCCGGAAGGUUAAUUGAUGGGGUCAGCGCAAGCGAAGCUCUUGAUCGAAGCCCCGGUAAACGGCGGCCGUAACUAUAACGGUCCUAAGGUAGCGAAAUUCCUUGUCGGGUAAGUUCCGACCUGCACGAAUGGCGUAAUGAUGGCCAGGCUGUCUCCACCCGAGACUCAGUGAAAUUGAACUCGCUGUGAAGAUGCAGUGUACCCGCGGCAAGACGGAAAGACCCCGUGAACCUUUACUAUAGCUUGACACUGAACAUUGAGCCUUGAUGUGUAGGAUAGGUGGGAGGCUUUGAAGUGUGGACGCCAGUCUGCAUGGAGCCGACCUUGAAAUACCACCCUUUAAUGUUUGAUGUUCUAACGUUGACCCCUAAUCGGGGUUGCGGACAGUGUCUGGUGGGUAGUUUGACUGGGGCGGUCUCCUCCUAAAGAGUAACGGAGGAGCACGAAGGUUGGCUAAUCCUGGUCGGACAUCAGGAGGUUAGUGCAAUGGCAUAAGCCAGCUUGACUGCGAGCGUGACGGCGCGAGCAGGUGCGAAAGCAGGUCAUAGUGAUCCGGUGGUUCUGAAUGGAAGGGCCAUCGCUCAACGGAUAAAAGGUACUCCGGGGAUAACAGGCUGAUACCGCCCAAGAGUUCAUAUCGACGGCGGUGUUUGGCACCUCGAUGUCGGCUCAUCACAUCCUGGGGCUGAAGUAGGUCCCAAGGGUAUGGCUGUUCGCCAUUUAAAGUGGUACGCGAGCUGGGUUUAGAACGUCGUGAGACAGUUCGGUCCCUAUCUGCCGUGGGCGCUGGAGAACUGAGGGGGGCUGCUCCUAGUACGAGAGGACCGGAGUGGACGCAUCACUGGUGUUCGGGUUGUCAUGCCAAUGGCACUGCCCGGUAGCUAAAUGCGGAAGAGAUAAGUGCUGAAAGCAUCUAAGCACGAAACUUGCCCCGAGAUGAGUUCUCCCUGACCCUUUAAGGGUCCUGAAGGAACGUUGAAGACGACGACGUUGAUAGGCCGGGUGUGUAAGCGCAGCGAUGCGUUGAGCUAACCGGUACUAAUGAACCGUGAGGCUUAACCUU